GACAACAAGAUGACUUUAGCUCUCAUCUUCAUCUGGACAUUCACUCUCUACUGCCAAGGAUGUGAAGGCCAGAUUACUGUGACUCAGACUCCAGCAGUGAAAGCUGUUCUUCCAGGACAAACCGUAUCCAUCAGCUGUAGAACCAGCAGUGCUGUCUAUGUUGGCUAUUGUCAUGGAGGAGCUGCAGGCCAUCAGUGUCUGUUCUGGUACAAGCAGCAGUCUGGAGAAGCUCCCAAACUCCUGAUAACAGGUGCUAAAUAUCGCCACACUGGGACUCCAUCCAGAUUCAGUGGCAGUGGAUCUGGUAAUGACUUUACUCUGACCAUCAGUAAUGUCCAGGCUGAGGAUGCAGGAGUUUACUACUGUCAGAGUUUCCACUAUCCCAACAGCAAGUAUGUGUUCACACAGUGAUAAAGCGCCGUACA